rnacentral:rRNA from 1 species
AUUGAACGCUGGCGGCAUGCCUUACACAUGCAAGUCGAACGGUAACAGGUCUUCGGAUGCUGACGAGUGGCGAACGGGUGAGUAAUACAUCGGAACGUGCCUAGUAGUGGGGGAUAACUACUCGAAAGAGUGGCUAAUGCCGCAUGAGAUCUACGGAUGAAAGCAGGGGAUCGCAAGACCUUGUGCUACUAGAGCGGCCGAUGGCAGAUUAGGUAGUUGGUGGGAUAAAAGCUUACCAAGCCGACGAUCUGUAGCUGGUCUGAGAGGACGAUCAGCCACACUGGGACUGAGACACGGCCCAGACUCCUACGGGAGGCAGCAGUGGGGAAGUUUGGACAAUGGGCGCAAGCCUGAUCCAGCAAUGCCGCGUGCAGGAUGAAGGCCUUCGGGUUGUAAACUGCUUUUGUACGGAACGAAAAGCCCUGGGUUAAUACCCUGGGGUCAUGACGGUACCGUAAGAAUAAGCACCGGCUAACUACGUGCCAGCCGCCGCGGUAACAC